AUGUUAAUUUUUCUUAUCUAUCCUUCAUAGAUUUAUAGCUCCAUUGUAAUUCUCCCACAAACAAAUUGCUUGUGUGGUCGUGGCUUCCUUUCCUUACCCUGUGAGUGAGCUAGUUUCAUUUUGCCUUUGCUUGAAUUUUGCUCAUCUUUUUUAUUUACUACCAACUUUCUGUUUUGUUCACUAGCUAACAGAGCAUUCUACCGAUACGCCGCCAUAUUGUGCGUGGUUAAUCUUUUAGAAGCUAUUGGUAGCUUGUUGGUUUAUUACAGAAAAACUUACGGGCUUUGGUAGGUUUGAAUGACAAAUUCAAUGUUAUAUUAUAUUAUAUUGUAAACUUUAUUGGACAGUAAACAAGACAUACCAAACGGCACGAAUGUUGAAAUACUUGUUCAAAUUUGUACAAGUCAAUAGCUUUUUGCACCAUCAUAAAUAUGUAAAAAGAAUGGCUGGAUGGUAUGGAGAACAGUGAGAUUUUUAAAACAAUAAAACGACAAUGGAACAUUGACAUGACUGGCAUUAUUCUUUUGCAAAAGGUCUCUGUACAUACGUUUAAAACUAAUGGCUAUUUUUUUCUUAUUUUAGUAUUUUAAAUGUUGCUGUUCUACUGUUUUAUGCACUUUUUGCUCCGCUAGUUUAUUUCACUUUUCUACAGAAGAGUUUUAGGUAUAGUAAUCGGUAUAAUUCAUAAUUUUUCACUCACAUACAGCUCAAAUUGACGUGAUGGCAGACGAGCAACUAUUUG
rnacentral:lncRNA from 1 species